UGGGGAAUAUUGCACAAUGGGCGAAAGCCUGAUGCAGCAACGCCGCGUGAGUGAUGAAGGCCUUCGGGUUGUAAAGCUCUGUCUUCUGGGACGAUAAUGACGGUACCAGAGGAGGAAGCCACGGCUAACUACGUGCCAGCAGCCGCGGUAAUACGUAGGUGGCAAGCGUUGUCCGGAUUUACUGGGCGUAAAGGAUGCGUAGGCGGAUACUUAAGUCAGAUGUGAAAAUCCCGGGCUUAACUUGGGAACUGCAUUUGAAACUGGGUAUCUAGAGUGCGGGAGAGGAAAGUGGAAUUCCUAGUGUGGCGGUGAAAUGCGUAGAGAUUAGGAAGAACACCAGUGGCGAAGGCGACUUUCUGGACCGUAACUGACGCUGAGGCAUGAAAGCGUGGGGAGCAAACA
rnacentral:rRNA from 1 species